UUAAACAUCGAUUCAGCUGGCAUUAUGGAGUUCCUGAUGAUCGAGUAGUUCGUCGCCGUAUUCUAGUGCAAGAAAGGCUUGGGGGCUGCCAUGACAGGUCGCCGCCGGGAGGCGGAGGGGCCCGUGGUCGGCCUCAGAUGCAGCACCCACUGCCCAAUUGGCACAAUUUGAAUUUGGCGGAGGAUGGAGGGCUCACGGGAGGCAGUAGCAGCCAUGGUGACAGGCGCGACAAUUAUGGCUGUUGCCAUCAGAGUGGGGGAGAGCCCGUGACGGGGAACAAUACUCUCAACGGAGAAGCCGUCCAGGAU
rnacentral:lncRNA from 1 species